rnacentral:rRNA from 1 species
UACGAAGGGGGCUAGCGUUGUUCGGAAUUACUGGGCGUAAAGCGCGCGUAGGCGGUGAUCUUUGUCAGAGGUGAAAUCCCGAGGCUCAACUUCGGAAUUGCCUUUGAAACGGGAUCGCUUGAGUCCGAGAGAGGAUGGCGGAAUUCCUAGUGUAGAGGUGAAAUUCGUAGAUAUUAGGAAGAACACCGGUGGCGAAGGCGGCCCACUGGAUCGGUACUGACGCUGAGGUGCGAAAGCGUGGGGAGCAAACAGG